rnacentral:rRNA from 1 species
AGCGGCGGACGGGUGAGUAAGGGGGGAUAACCUGCCCUAUACACACGGAUAACAUACCGAAAGGUAUGCUAAUACGAGAUAAUAUAAGAGAUUCGCAUGGAUUUCUUAUCAAAGCUGAGGCGGUAUAGGAUGGACCCGCGUCCGAUUAGCUAGUUGGUAAGGUAACGGCUUACCAAGGCGACGAUCAGUAGCCGACCUGAGAGGGUGAUCGGCCACAUUGGAACUGAGACACGGUCCAAACUCCUACGGGAGGCAGCAGUGGGGAAUAUUGCACAAUGGGCGAAAGCCUGAUGCAGCAACGCCGCGUGAGUGAUGAAGGCCUUCGGGUCGUAAAACUCUGUCCUCAAGGAAGAUAAUGACGGUACUUGAGGAGGAAGCCCCGGCUAACUACGUGCCAGCAGCCGCGGUAAUACGUAGGGGGCUAGCGUUAUCCGGAUUUACUGGGCGUAAAGGGUGCGUAGGUGGUCUCUUAAGUCAGGAGUGAAAGGCUACGGCUUAACCGUAGUAAGCUCUUGAAACUGGGAGACUUGAGUGCAGGAGAGGAAAGUGGAAUUCCUAGUGUAGCGGUGAAAUGCGUAGAUAUUAGGAGGAACACCAGUAGCGAAGGCGGCUUUCUGGACUGUAACUGACACUGAGGCACGAAAGCGUGGGGAGCAAACAGGAUUAGAUACCCUGGUAGUCCACGCCGUAAACGAUGAGUACUAGGUGU